rnacentral:rRNA from 1 species
CAUUNAGGAAUAUUGGCCAAUGGGCGAGAGCCUUACCCNGCCAAGUCGGGGGGCAGGAAGACGGCCCUACGGGUUNUAAACNGCUUUUAUAUUGGAAAUANUNANNCGCNANGUGUANNGAGAAAGAAAUGUCCCAUUUUGAAUAAGCANCGCCUAANUCCGUGCCAGCAGCNNCGGUAAUNCGGAGGNUGCGAGCGUUAUCCCGNAUUUAUUNGGGUUAAAGGGUGCGUAGGUGNCUUAAAUAANUCAGCGGUGAAAGUUUUGUCGCUAANCGAUAAAAUUGCCGUUGAUACUGUUAGGCUUGAGUGUAAAUUGAAGUAGGCGGAAUGCGUGGUGUAGCGGUGAAAUGCAUAGAGAUCACGCAGAACUCCAAUUGCGAAGGCAGCUUACUAAGCUACAACUGACACUGAAGCACGAAAGCGUGGGUAUCAAACAGGAUUAGAUACCCUGGUAGUCCACGCUGUAAACGAUGAUUACUAGGAGUUUGCGAUAAACAGUAAGUUCUACAGCGAAAGCGUUAAGUAAUCCACCUGGGGAGUACGCCGGCAACGGUGAAACUCAAAGGAAUUGACGGGGGCCCGCACAAGCGGAGGAACAUGUGGUUUAAUUCGAUGAUACGNNAGGAACCUUACCCGGGAUUGAAAUGUACCUGACUGACUGGGAAACUAGUCAUCUAGCAAUAGCAGGUAUGUAGGUGCU